rnacentral:rRNA from 1 species
CAGCCGCCGUGGUAAUACGUAGGGUCCGAGCGUUGUCCGGAAUUAUUGGGCGUAAAGGGCUCGUAGGCGGUUUGUCGCGUCGGGAGUGAAAUCCAGCAGCUUAACUGCUGGCCUGCUUUCGAUACGGGCAGACUUGAGGCAUUCAGGGGAGAACGGAAUUCCUGGUGUAGCGGUGGAAUGCGCAGAUAUCAGGAGGAACACCGGAGGCGAAGGCGGUUCUCUGGGAAUGUUCUGACGCUGAGGAGCGAAAGUGUGGGGAGCGAACAGGAUUAGAUACCCCGGUAGUCCCUGUCUCUUAUAU